rnacentral:rRNA from 1 species
CUUACACCGAAUGCUUGCAUUCACCGUAAGAAGUUGAGUGGCGGACGGGUGAGUAACACGUGGGUAACCUGCCUAAAAGAAGGGGAUAACACUUGGAAACAGGUGCUAAUACCGUAUAUCUCUAAGGAUCGCAUGAUUCUUAGAUGAAAGAUGGUUCUGCUAUCGCUUUUAGAUGGACCCGCGGCGUAUUAACUAGUUGGUGGGGUAACGGCCUACCAAGGUGAUGAUACGUAGCCGAACUGAGAGGUUGAUCGGCCACAUUGGGACUGAGACACGGCCCAAACUCCUACGGGAGGCAGCAGUAGGGAAUCUUCCACAAUGGACGCAAGUCUGAUGGAGCAACGCCGCGUGAGUGAAGAAGGUCUUCGGAUCGUAAAACUCUGUUGUUAGAGAAGAACACGAGUGAGAGUAACUGUUCAUUCGAUGACGGUAUCUAACCAGCAAGUCACGGCUAACUACGUGCCAGCAGCCGCGGUAAUACGUAGGUGGCAAGCGUUGUCCGGAUUUAUUGGGCGUAAAGGGAACGCAGGCGGUCUUUUAAGUCUGAUGUGAAAGCCUUCGGCUUAACCGGAGUAGUGCAUUGGAAACUGGAAGACUUGAGUGCAGAAGAGGAGAGUGGAACUCCAUGUGUAGCGGUGAAAUGCGUAGAUAUAUGGAAGAACACCAGUGGCGAAAGCGGCUC